CCUACGGGAGGCAGCAGUGAGGAAUAUUGGUCAAUGGACGAGAGUCUGAACCAGCCAAGUAGCGUGAAGGAUGACUGCCCUAUGGGUUGUAAACUUCUUUUAUAUGGGAAUAAAAUGUUCCACGUGUGGGAUUUUGUAUGUACCAUAUGAAUAAGGCUCGGCUAACUCCGUGCCAGCCGCCGCGGUAAUACGGAGGCUCCGAGCGUUAUCCGGAUUUAUUGGGUUUAAAGGGAGCGUAGGUGGAUUGUUAAGUCAGUUGUGAAAGUUUGCGGCUCAACCGUAAAAUUGCAGUUGAAACUGGCAGUCUUGAGUACAGUAGAGGUGGGCGGAAGUCGUGGUGUAGCGGUGAAAUGCUUAGAUAUCACGAAGAACUCCGAUUGCGAAGGCAGCUCACUGGACUGCAACUGACACUGAGGCUCGAAAGUGUGGGUAUCAAACAGGAUUAGAUACCCUUGUAGUC
rnacentral:rRNA from 1 species